GCCGAAAUAGCUCAGUCUGGCUAGAGCACCUGCAUCGUAAGCAGAUGGUCGUCGGUUCAAAUCCGACUUUCGGCUCCA
rnacentral:tRNA from 1 species